rnacentral:lncRNA from 1 species
AACGAAUUAACAACUGUCAUAGUCCUGACUUCGUACAGUCAUUUUCUAAUGUAGAACAUGAUGGAUUAAACCUGGUUUUACAACUAGCUAAACAUCUCACUUGCAAUAGACACUUCAUUGAUAUAAUUCAAGAAAAAAUGGCAGCAGUAGUUUGUUAGUUUUUAAAAUACAUACACAAGAAUCCCAUAGAAUAUCAGUACAACACUCAUCUAAGUAAACAGGCAGACACACAACAUCUAUUAGCACAUAGAUUGUCCAGAUUGCCACAUAUUUAACAGGCACCAAACUUUGAAAAAUGCAAGGUGAAAUCUAUUAGAUUUGCAUGUGCAAAAGACACCUUCCUCUUUGCCUAUCUAGACCACAUGUAAGACUACAGCAUCCAAAAUAGUGAAUCUUAACACUGCAGCAACC